rnacentral:rRNA from 1 species
GACGAACGCUGGCGGCGUGCCUAAUACAUGCAAGUAGAACGCUGAAGACUUUAGCUUGCUAAAGUUGGAAGAGUUGCGGACGGGUGAGUAACGCGUAGGUAACCUGCCUACUAGCGGGGGAUAACUAUUGGAAACGAUAGCUAAUACCGCAUAACAGCUUUUAACUCAUGUUAGGAGCUUGAAAGGUGCAAUUGCAUCACUAGUAGAUGGACCUGCGUUGUAUUAGCUAGUUGGUGAGGUAACGGCUCACCAAGGCGACGAUACAUAGCCGACCUGAGAGGGUGAUCGGCCACACUGGGACUGAGACACGGCCCAGACUCCUACGGGAGGCAGCAGUAGGGAAUCUUCGGCAAUGGGGGCAACCCUGACCGAGCAACGCCGCGUGAGUGAAGAAGGUUUUCGGAUCGUAAAGCUCUGUUGUAAGAGAAGAACGUGUGUGAGAGUGGAAAGUUCACACAGUGACGGUAACUUACCAGAAAGGGACGGCUAACUACGUGCCAGCCGCCGCAGUAA